ACAUCGGUAGCACAGUGGUUAGUGCAGUCUGCCAUAAACAGAAAGACGCGGGUUCAAUUCCUGUCCGACGUC
rnacentral:tRNA from 1 species